GAGAAAGCAAACCGCAAGGGUAGGUAGUGGGUGAAGCGGGGAGCAAGUUCUCUGCGUCGAGCGGGGUUGGCGUGGUGACUCCUUCCCUCGCCCGCUAAAAGGGCAAUCGUCCGUUUGGACGCAGAGAUGAAGAGUGAGUACCUCAAGACGCAGCAGGCCGUUGUGUGGUCGCGUCGGUUCUCUCUACUGUACGCGUUCGGAGUAUGGACGAUCAUUGGCUUUUUCGCUAUGCGGUCGAUGCGUUUCAGGGAGAUACCACCGAAGGAGGAGGAGAAGGGCGGGCAGUCGCCGCCGCCGCCGCCACUCGAUAACCACUAGGAAUAUUCCAGAAGUGUUUCAUAGGAGCAGAAGAUCAAGACAGAAACUGGAUUCAUGUUAACAGCAACAACUAGUUCUUCAGAUUUUGUGCCAUAUUCUUCUAGUUUGUAUAAUCAAGUGCUGUCGCUUUUUUAUGACAAUGCUGGGAAAGAAAAGUAAAUUAUGUUGAAAAAAGGAGUAUUACAGUGUCUAUAACUUUCAUUAAAGAAUUGUAUGAGAUCCAGCUUUAACAGUAAUUGGAAAGUUCCAUGUUCUGUCAGCCUAUUAUGAAUCUGUAAUACUACUUUACCAUCAUGGAUUUGAAUAUAUUGAAUAUAAUUUUUUAUAUUUUUCUUUUAUGUAUAGUUUAUUUUUAAUACCUUUUCCUGAAAUUCUGCUAGCGUGUGCCUGAAAUGACAGAGAAGAUAAAUGUGAUUGAUUCCUUAUUUCCUCUUCGGGAAUCCAUCCAUAAACAUUUUUCCCAUAGAGAAAAUAAUUGUUUUGAAGAAGAGAGAACUUCUCUAGCACUUACCUCUGAUGUUGGAGUUGGAGGAAAGGUGUUUGAUAGUUUCUGAGUGCGGUGGAAGCAACUUUUGUUCCUACAGGUCUGGUUCCCAGAUACAAUUCAGUCUAGCUUCUACACACUUCUGGUUUCACAACAAGAAAUACAUUUAACUUUUUUAAACAAGAGUUUAUAAAGGCAUAUAUUUUGGACUGUUUUUUAAAAAUCUAUGGUGGCAUAUUCCUUACUGUAAGAUGAGUUUAGCCUGUCAUCCUCACCCCUACCUAUUUCAUUUUUCCACAUACCUGUAAGGUAGUGGAACAAUUUUAAAAAAGAUGCUGUAGCUUUGUGUUUUCUCUGGGUCUGAAUAACACAAGGUAUAGAUCAACAAUGCUGAGUACAAAGUGUAGUUAAGGUACUCUGUCUUAAUAUUUUGCCCAAGGUUGUCUUUAAAUUAACUGGUUUAAUAUGCUGUGUAUACACCAUGCAUUUUGCUUGUUACUAACAGAAGAGUUGUGCAGUGGUGUGAGGACUGAUAUAGAAAAGAAUUAAGCAUAAGAAAAAGCUGAAGCAAACACAUCUGUAAAGGGUCUGCCAAAUCAUGAUAUAUUUAUGAGCUGUGUUGCCACUUUAUACCUGUGAGCAUUUACUUGAUUAUUUGAUGGAAGCUGGCAUUUUUAGAAAUUACAGUAGAUCAACCUCAAGUUGAAGAUAUUUAGUGUAUUUUUGGUUUUAAACAAUGUUUUGUUUUAAACAAUGAUACAAGCAAAAUGGAAAAGUGAAAUUGAUUUUCCAGUGUUGUAUAAUGAUUAAUAAACAAUAUGAUCUUAAAA